AAGUCUAAAGAGUCGGGGUGCGCCUUCCCGGCGGUUAGUGCCCUCGCCGGGGAGGGGAGCGAGUCAGCGCGUAGUCAUACAGACCUGCCGCUUUACUCACUCUCUGAAGUUGGAGGAGUGACUCAACCCUUCAGGAAAUCGGUUCGUUCUUUUUUUGUUGUUGUUUUUUUUCCCCUAAUUGUUUUUAAAAGCCGGUCUCGUGUAACCCAGCCUGGCUCCGAACUCAAUGUGUAGCCUACGCUGUCCUUGGAACUCCUGAUCCUCCUGUGUCUGUGCCGCAGUGCGGUGCUGGGAUCACAGCCCUGCGCUACACGGCCCAGCAUUGAUGUCAGCAUCCCCGUGAGCAAAAUGUCACACAUAACAGUA
rnacentral:lncRNA from 1 species